UACGUAGGGUGCGAGCGUUGUCCGGAAUUAUUGGGCGUAAAGAGCUCGUAGGCGGUUUGUCGCGUCUGCCGUGAAAGUCCGGGGCUCAACUCCGGAUCUGCGGUGGGUACGGGCAGACUAGAGUGAUGUAGGGGAGACUGGAAUUCCUGGUGUAGAGGUGAAAUGCGCAGAUAUCAGGAGGAACACCGAUGGCGAAGGCAGGUCUCUGGGCAUUAACUGACGCUGAGGAGCGAAAGCAUGGGGAGCGAACAGG
rnacentral:rRNA from 1 species